AAUUGUUCGCAAUGGGCGCAAGCCUGACGACGCAACGCCGCGUGGAGGACGAAGAUCUUCGGGUCGUAAACUCCUUUCGAUCGGGACGAACGGCCGGUGACCCAACACGUCACCGGAGUGACGGUACCGAGAGAAGAAGCCCCGGCUAACUCCGUGCCAGCAGCCGCGGUAAUACGGGGGGGGCAAGCGUUGUUCGGAAUUACUGGGCGUAAAGGGCGCGUAGGCGGCCUUCUAAGUCGAACGUGAAAUCCCCGGGCUCAACCCGGGAACUGCGUCCGAGACUGGAAGGCUUGAAUCCGGGAGAGGGAUGUGGAAUUCCAGGUGUAGCGGUGAAAUGCGUAGAUAUCUGGAGGAACAUCGGUGGCGAAGGCGGCAUCCUGGACCGGUAUUGACGCUGAGGCGCGAAAGCCAGGGGAGCAAAC
rnacentral:rRNA from 1 species